ACAGAUAUGGAGAUGAAGUCAAGCCCCGAGAGGACAUGUGUAUCAGUUCCACCAAGUUUGCCCAGCUAGCAAGUGACUGAGCUGAGAUGUGAAUCCAGGUGUGGAAACUGAAGCUAUGAGAGGUCAAGGAACUUGCUUCAGGUCGCACAGCUGGUUGCAUGACAAACUGUCCCAUCCUGUGGAAGACAGCUUCAGAAUUAAGAAACAGCAGUGGCUGAUGAUCCCAAGGAUGUUAAAUGGCUUUAUUAAUCAUAACCACAGACUAAAGGCUGUGUGUUUUCUCCAGGAGCAGAGUGAGAGAUUGCCUUGUCUUCUGCCUCUCCCACUGUAUAAUCAAGGCAUCAAGCUAAAUUAAAGGAAAUGCCAUC